UAAUUCUUCGCUUGUUACUAAUUAUUUAAAAAAAUGCUCUUAUGACAACUAUUGGACAACACCUAGGGGGAUUUCCUUUUGAGCGGAGCUUUCCGAGGCCCUUGUGGAUUUUAUCUUGCAACACCGAUUAUGAAAUAUAUUUUUGAUUAAAAAAAAUCCCCCUUCCUCGUUUAAUUGUGCCGCGUACUUCAACGUUCCACACACACAGUGUUUUCGGGGUACAGGGAGGGGAAGCGGGCAUACGUGGAAAUUACUGGGUCACAUGCGGGGCUCGCGAGUGACGGGCGAAAAAAAAAUCGAUCGGCGGUCGCGUCGUUAUCUAUUUGCGACGCGAUGGAGUCGAUAACCGUCCAGUUACGUCGAGUUUUACGUCCAUUCGAGUCAUGGGGUGCAGCGCGACGCGGGGCGUCGUCGAACCCGACGACGGGCGUCUCUACCAAAACGGGACGAGGGACCUCUCCGAGGCUGCGCGGGUCCCCCGAGACGUGGAGCUCCUCGAAGACGACGUCCAUGACGUCCACGAGGCCGCCCACGGAUUGGCGUACGAUAUAAGCUUCGACGAAGACGACGACGACGUCGGCGAGCGCUCGAGGCGACCUCCGAGGAGGCUGCUGAGACGGGAGGAGGCGACCGGCAGUCCGGUUACGUUGGAGAAGCUCCGGGAGAAACUGGAAGGCGCCGAAAUGAGACGCCAAAAGAUCCUUCAGGAGCGAAUAAGGUCCGCGAAUCAACUGUACAGUCACGUCAGACGUCGCAACGACAACGGCGACGUCGAGGACCGGGAAACGCUUCCCUGAACGUUCCCUUUCGUUUUUCUACGCCAUCAAAUGCACGGGUUUCGAUAUAAAACGAUAAAGUUCCGCACAUAAACGCUAGCAACUAUGCUCGUAUUAAACACAAAGCAUUUUGGACGAAAAAAUGGCCAUAAAUUCGAAAACACUCGGUGUAGACUAUCACAAGUAAGUAUAAGUAUUAAUGCCAUAAUAUACAUUAAAAAAUAUAAUAACAUUUAUUACUUUGACACGCAUGUAAACGUUAUUUGGAUGUCCUGUAUAAGCCCUGAAACAGCUAAUAAGAUGAUCGGCGAAACGUCAGCAGGAUCGAGUUAUCAACAACCCAGCAGAAGUUUCCUCUUUAAAUUGUUAAAUAAACAAUUAUUUUAUUCUAGCUUGCUUCAAGAGUUUUGUUCUUUUAACCGACCUAACACACUUUGCAGUUGCAAAAAAAAUGGGGAGAAAUUGUAGGUUCAUUUCGUGAUAUUUUUUAUUAUUUAUUUACUAAUUUUAAUUUCAAAGAACUGAAAAGACAUCCUGACAGAUUUUUUAAUUUUACGUUUUCUGUGUGCGCCAGAGUGCAAGAAAUGCACAUUUAUUUUUCGACACUUACUCAUUACUGUAUAGUAUGCUUGUUAGGUAGUUUUUUAGAGGAGAUAAUUGUAAUUAGUCUUCAGUUCCUGUUAUAA